GCACCCCUGACAAGACACGAGCCCACCACCUAAUGAGCGCCCGGCUAUCUCUAGCCCGGUAAGUACACCACCGAGGCUCCCUACCCGUUGACGAACGCUUACAGUCUUCUUUCCAGUGUGGUGGCGUACCCAGCAGCUUGUCUGCUGACAGCGGCUGUAGUCUAUUAGGCACCUCCUCCCAUCCACGUCAGCCUACGAGCAUGGGCAGUUGCCACCUCCGCCAACACCGGUUGUGUUUGGAAACGGCGAAUGGCACCCCGGCUACUAUCCCCUACCACCGCCGUCGCGUUAGGUUGCCCUGGAGGUGGUCUUUGAAGCGCCGCCAUAUCGUCACGACGGACGACUGUAAGAUAACAGCCUCCACAACUGCUGCGGGAGGGGUGCAUGAUAAAUAGCCACUACUCACACUUGAAUUACCGCAGUAGAGAAACGAAUGGCCCCAUCUACUUCCUGCUGGGCAGUCAAGCGUGUUGAAUGAAGGGAGACGUACCGGCGCCCAUCUCGAUUCGUGUGCCGCUCCCUCUUUGUGUUUCGUUUCAGUGCAGUCUUCUGUUGCAUCGACUUCUCUUUCACAAGGAAGCUCUUUUCCUGUUUGCGGUGCCGAGAGCUCAUUUCAUUGGCCGCUUGUGGAAACCAGCGGCAGUGCUCUGCCUUUUCACCCCUUUCCCGUGCAGUCACUUCACCCCCUCUCUGCUCACGGCGCUAAUUUCCUUUUUUUCUUUCGUUUUGUGUCGUCCGUUUUUUCUUUUCCUUUCGCUCCAG
rnacentral:misc_RNA from 1 species